rnacentral:siRNA from 1 species
AAGAGAGGCGGUGAGAGAGAUGU